rnacentral:rRNA from 1 species
AUGAGUGGUACUGGAUAGUGCUAUAUGACUUUCAAUGUAUUAGGUUUAUCCAACUCGUUGAAUAGUUUAAUGGUAUAUUUCUCGGUAUUCUAGGCUCGGCCUUACAAUAUAACAAACAAGUUUGACCUCAAAUCAGGUAGGAUUACCCGCUGAACUUAAGCAUAUCAAUAAGCGGAGGAAAAGAAACCAACAGGGAUUGCCUUAGUAACGGCGAGUGAAGCGGCAAAAGCUCAAAUUUGAAAUCUGGCACCUUCGGUGUCCGAGUUGUAAUUUGAAGAAGGUAACUUUGGAGUUGGCUCUGUCUAUGUUCCUUGGAACAGGACGUCACAGAGGGUGAGAAUCCCGUGCGAUGAGAUGCCCAAUUCUAUGUAAAGUGCUUUCGAAGAGUCGAGUUGUUUGGGAAUGCAGCUCUAAGUGGGUGGUAAAUUCCAUCUAAAGCUAAAUAUUGGCGAGAGACCGAUAGCGAACAAGUACAGUGAUGGAAAGAUGAAAAGAACUUUGAAAAGAGAGUGAAAAAGUACGUGAAAUUGUUGAAAGGGAAGGGCUUGAGAUCAGACUUGGUAUUUUGCGAUCCUUUCCUUCUUGGUUGGGUUCCUCGCAGCUUACUGGGCCAGCAUCGGUUUGGAUGGUAGGAUAAUGACUAAGGAAUGUGGCUCUACUUCGGUGGAGUGUUAUAGCCUUGGUUGAUACUGCCUGUCUAGACCGAGGACUGCGUCUUGA